rnacentral:rRNA from 1 species
AUUGAACGCUGGCGGCAGGCUUAACACAUGCAAGUCUAGCGAGCGGCGGACGGGUGAGUAAUGUCUGGGAAACUGCCUGAUGGAGGGGGAUAACUACUGGAAACGGUAGCUAAUACAGCAUACCAUCAGAUGUGCCCAGAUGGGAUUAGCUGGUAGGUGGGGUAACGGCUCAACUAGGCGACGAUCCCUAGCUGGUCUGAGAGGAUGACCAGCAACACUGGAACUGAGACACGGGCCAGACUCCUACGGUAGGCAGCAGUGGGGAAUAUUGCACAAUGGGCGCAAUCCUGAUGCAGCCAUGCCGCGUGUGUGAAGAAGGCCUUCGGUUUGUAAAGCACUUUCAGCGGGGAGGCGUUACCCGCAGAAGAAGCACCGGCUAACUACGUGCCAGCAGCCGCGGUAAUAC